GGGGAUGUAGCUCAGUGGUAGAGCGCAUGCUUCGCAUGUAUGAGGUCCUUGGUCCAAUUCCCAGCUUCUCCG
rnacentral:tRNA from 1 species